rnacentral:rRNA from 1 species
GUGGGGAAUUUUGGACAAUGGGCGAAAGCCUGAUCCAGCCAUGCCGCGUGCAGGAUGAAGGCCUUCGGGUUGUAAACUGCUUUUGUACGGAACGAAAAGACUCCUUCUAAUAAAGGGGGUCCAUGACGGUACCGUAAGAAUAAGCACCGGCUAACUACGUGCCAGCAGCCGCGGUAAUACGUAGGGUGCAAGCGUUAAUCGGAAUUACUGGGCGUAAAGCGUGCGCAGGCGGUUAUAUAAGACAGAUGUGAAAUCCCCGGGCGCAACCUGGGAACUGCAUUUGUGACUGUAUAGCUAGAGUACGGUAGAGGGGGAUGGAAUUCCGCGUGUAGCAGUGAAAUGCGUAGAUAUGCGGAGGAACACCGAUGGCGAAGGCAAUCCCCUGGACCUGUACUGACGCUCAUGCACGAAAGCGUGGGGAGCAAACAGGAUUAGAAACCCGGGUAGUCC